AUGAAGUAGGAACUUAUUGGUAUAUCAAUGAAACGUUUUGGAGUCAUUAAUAGCGCAUGGAUCUUGUUUGAGUAACCGGAUACCUUCUGACAUUCAUUAGUGCAAUAAAUAUGUAAGAUUUGGAAAACAAGUAAGUAUUGGAAUGUCUUGACAUCUUGUAGGGUGGAAACAAGUUCAUUGGUAACUUAGGACAUCAUACAAAAUCAUUAUGGAUCACAUGUUACUGAAUAACUUUGGAAACUUUCUUAAUAGAACAAUUGUUCACUUUCAUGCCAAAGAUAUGGUAUAGAGUAUGCUUUACAUACCUGACUGUCAACCUUCAAUACUAGUCCCAAAUGGACUUCCCGACUUUUUGGAUUACUUAUCUCCAAUGAAC
rnacentral:lncRNA from 1 species